CAGCCGCUAUCCGGGCCGCCUCCUUGCGGUUGCCUUUCACUAUGUAGAAGUGACUGAGGAUGGCGAGGCUGAUUUUCACAAAGAGCUUGAAACAGAACAGCGAGAGGAUGGUGAAGUAGACGUUAGAGAGCUGCUGAGCAAAGGGCCGGCUUUCUUCGACCACCGACAUCGCUGCACCAGCCCGGCUGCUGCCGCCCUUGGUCAGAUCCAAGUCCCGAAUGUGCCUGGCUCCGGUCCGGGAUGCUCCUGGACAGCUGGUCCUGAGGAAGGAAAAUAGCAGCUGGUAACGAUGCCUCCAGCUCAAAAUAUUUAUACCGUCCAUAAAAGUGCUUCGCACAUGGCUAUUGGUCUGACACUCUUCCGCGGGGGCAAUGGCAACACGUGCCGCUUCCCGACACUCCUGACUUUCCGUGCUGGCUACAAAAUGACAUCCCGCCCCCCUGCCCUGAAAUUCAGAAUCAGUCCUUAUAAAGAAAAUACACCAUAGGCAUCAUUCAUCCCUUCUGUACAAGGUGAGGAAGCAGAGACUUAAUGACCAAGCAAUCUGCUGAGAUUCUGCCUCUUCAAGUGGAAGUGCUGGGACUCAUGCCUGAGCUUCCGUCACCGCAGCUCUUCUCAUGUUAUCACUCACAGGCCCAGGACAAAGAUGCUCAAUAGUCUUGGAUACAGGGAAGAGAGCAGACACUCCAGGUCUUAGAAAUAAACCUGAUCUCAGAUUAGAAUCCAUGGUUCCUCGUUUAAGAAACUAAGGUUCUGGGGCCUCCCUGGUGGUACAGUGGUUAAGAAUCUUCCUGCCAAUGCAGGGGACACGGGUUCGAGCCCUGGUCCGGGAAGAUCCCACAAGCUGCGGAGCAACUACGCCCGUGCGCCACAACUACUGAGCCUGCGCUCUAGAGCCUGUGUGCCACAACUACUGAAGCCUGUGCGCCACAACUACGGAAGCCCACGUGCCUAGAGCCCGUGCUCCGGAGCAGGAGAGGCCACCGCAGUGAGAAGCCUGUGCUCCACGACGAACAGUAGCCCCCACUCGCCACAGCUGGAGGGGGCCUGUGCUCAGCAACAAAGACACAAUGCAGCCAAAGAUAAAUGAAUAAAUAAAUAAAUAAAUAGAAAGAAAGAAAGAAACCAAGGUUCUGGAACUGCAAAACCUUAUCUGAAGAUGUGAUCAUUGCAACGGUAAUAAGGCAAUGGUAACAGCACAAUAUAUUUUGUUAUGUAUUACAGAAACCCUAAACCACCCCGUGAAUUAAAGUUGUACAAGUAGGGGAAUGCAGACAGUGGAAGCUGUAUGGCCAUCUGAAAGCCUGGGCAUUACCCUGAGGAGCAUCUGUCAGCUGGCAUCUCACAUGUCCCAGGAUCAACUGGGGCGAUCAGAUGAGCUGAUGAGGCCGCUGCAUCGCUCAGUGAUUAAGAAGCAGCAGCGAAAGCGUCUCCAUCCAAUGCCAUGGACACGAGAGGAGGCAAAAGACUGUGAAAAUCAGGACUGAGCAGGCUAACAGUCAGCGCACACAGGUGGGCCAAAGACAGUGGACCGAAAGGCUAGGUUCAAAAAGCCAGCCUGAGAAAGGAGGGCCCGAGACAGGAACGAAGACCCAGAGUGCAAAGCCAAGAUGCAAAGAGUGACAACAAUGGAAGGACAAAAGUAUGGAUGAGUGGCUGCUUGGAGGAAUGUUCUAGAGGCUGAUGAUGAACCUUAUAAAAGCCCCACAGCCUCCUGAGUGGAAACAUUUGCUUCUUUGCUUCAUUCCAAGGGCCCUGGGCUGAACGGGUUAUUUUCAUGUAAGUAACAAGGAAAAUAAAGGUACAUACUCUAACAAAAA